CAAAGCUCUUCCGCACCUUCCUCCUUCCUUCCUUCACCCGCCCACGUUAACUCCAGCUCCAAAGAAAAAGGCUUCGGAGCCGCUCGUUUUUCUAGAAUCUUGCAGAGGUUUCGUGGAGCUGACUGCGCUUGCGCAAACAGUCAAGAUGACGCAGGCUCAGUAGGUUCGAUACCGUUUGGGAGUGGUGCGAGAAGUUCGGCAGCCGCCUGUCUUUGGGGUGCCUGCCCGCAGUCGCUUCCACUUCCGGGUCCCUAGCAGCCGCCGCUCGCUGGAGCAUCAUAGGAAAACCUACAAGAUUACUCUGUCACCCUGUUCACUUAGCCCAGUAUUACAGGCUUAAAAGGAGUCACUGCCCAGAGACUGACCUACAAAAGUCCACAGACUGCUUCCUUUAUACUAAGAUAUAAGGGAGAGUUGACUCCACUACAUGGAUGUCAAGCACCAUAAGACCAAACUGGAACCAGAUGACAACUUUCAUUGGCAAUGAAACCCCUGGAAAAGCAAAGCCUACUGCAUAGUAACAUCAGCCAGGCAGCCCACUUCCUACCUGCAUAACUUCAACUGGAAUCACUGCGGAAUAAUGUCCUUGGCCUGCAAGGGCCACUUCAUUCUACAAAUACUCUCCUAAUCUAGCAUCCUGGAUCCAGUUGGUAAACUCAAGUUGACAAAAGAAAUGAAUCCUGAAGGUACGGCCCCUGGAGGACACCCAGGCUGAAGCUUGGGGAUUAACCAGUAUCAGACUAAAGCUGACUGCCUCCCUUUUGUUUUUGAUUUCCCACAACAGCUGCCCAGUGUACAGGGGUGGAAUGGAGACAAUAACUACGUUUUCAGUAAAAUUUUCAAAAAUUUUCAAAGGCUACAAGUCAGGGUUUGAUUUAUUAUUUUGUUGAUUGUCAAGACUUCAAAAAAGUG